rnacentral:rRNA from 1 species
GAAUAUUGGACAAUGGGCGAAAGCCUGAUCCAGCCAUGCCGCGUGUGUGAAGAAGGUCUUCGGAUUGUAAAGCACCUUCAGUUGGGAGGAAGGGCAGCAAGCGAAUACCUUGCUGUUUCGACGUUACCGACCGAAGAAGCAUCGUCUAACCCUGUGCCAGCAGCCGCGGUAAUACAGGGGGUGCAAGCGUUAAUCGGAAUUACUGGGCGUAAAGCGCGCGUAGGUGGUUCGUUAAGUUGGAUGUGAAAUCCCCGGGCUCAACCUGGGAACUUCAUCCAAAACUGGCGAGCUAGAGUAGGGCAGAGGGUGGUGGAAUUUCCUGUGUAGCGGUGAAAUGCGUAGAUAUAGGAAGGAACACCAGUGGCGAAGGCGACCACCUGGGCACAUACUGACACUGAGGUGCGAAAGCGUGGGGAGCAAACAGG